AACGAACGCUGGCGGCAUGCCUAACACAUGCAAGUUGAACGAGAUCUUCGGGUCUAGUGGCGCACGGGUGCGUAACGCGUGGGAAUCUGCCCUUUGGUUCGGAAUAACAGUUGGAAACGACUGCUAAUACCGGAUGAUGACGAAAGUCCAAAGAUUUAUCGCCAGAGGAUGAGCCCGCGUAGGAUUAGCUAGUUGGUGUGGUAAAGGCGCACCAAGGCGACGAUCCUUAGCUGGUCUGAGAGGAUGAUCAGCCACACUGGGACUGAGACACGGCCCAGACUACUACGGGAGGCAGCAGUGGGGAAUAUUGGACAAUGGGCGAAAGCCUGAUCCAGCAAUGCCGCGUGAGUGAUGAAGGCCUUAGGGUUGUAAAGCUCUUUUACCCGGGAUGAUAAUGACAGUACCGGGAGAAUAAGCUCCGGCUAACUCCGUGCCAGCCGCCGCAGUAA
rnacentral:rRNA from 1 species